GCCUAACACAUGCAAGUCGAUCGGAUGAGGGAAGCUUGCUUCCCAAUUUAGCGGCGGACGGGUGAGUAAUGCCUAGGAAUCUGCCUAUUAGUGGGGGAUAACGUUCCGAAAGGAACGCUAAUACCGCAUACGUCCUACGGGAGAAAGUGGGGGAUCUUCGGACCUCACGCUAAUAGAUGAGCCUAGGUCGGAUUAGCUAGUUGGUGGGGUAACGGCUCACCAAGGCGACGAUCCGUAGCUGGUCUGAGAGGAUGAUCAGCCACACUGGAACUGAGACACGGUCCAGACUCCUACGGGAGGCAGCAGUGGGGAAUAUUGGACAAUGGGCGAAAGCCUGAUCCAGCCAUGCCGCGUGUGUGAAGAAGGUCUUCGGAUUGUAAAGCACUUUAAGUUGGGAGGAAGGGUUGUAAGCUAAUAUCUUGCAGCUUUGACGUUACCAACAGAAUAAGCACCGGCUAACUCUGUGCCAGCAGCCGCGGUAAUACAGAGGGUGCAAGCGUUAAUCGGAAUUACUGGGCGUAAAGCGCGCGUAGGCGGCUUAGUAAGUUGGAUGUGAAAGCCCCGGGCUCAACCUGGGAACUGCAUCCAAAACUGCUUGGCUAGAGUACAGUAGAGGGUGGUGGAAUUUCCUGUGUAGCGGUGAAAUGCGUAGAUAUAGGAAGGAACACCAGUGGC
rnacentral:rRNA from 1 species